AUGAACAACACUUUAAUUUAUAAUCAUCAUCUGCUUCCAUACUCCGCGAGGGAGCAUAGGUUGUCCACAAAACUUCGCCAUCGUAUUCGGUUCAUUGCAGGUGCCUUGACUUCCGUCCAUUCUUUCUAGGCUUCCCUCGCUUCGUUGACGACUGUGUUGUUUUCAGUCUACCCCUCUUUCGCGUCCCCUGCGGGUUCCAGUCCAAUGCGGUUUUCGCGAUUUUUCCAGCAGGUCGCCGAAUGGUGUUUCCUUCUUCAUUCGUUUGAUCAUUGGCUUCAUUUCCUCGCAUUUGGUCUGCUUCAACAACUCAGUGUUUGAAAUAGUUUCUGGCCAACGUAUUCUCAGUAUGCGUCUGAGACAUCGAUUGAAGAAUAC